rnacentral:tmRNA from 1 species
UUGCCAACGACAACCGUGCUCCGGUCGCUCUGGCUGCGUAAGCAGCUCGGGUAACCGAAAAUCAAGUCCUUGCGCUUAGCCGCGCAAGGCGGGGUUCGCAGGCACCUGGCAACAGAAGCCUGCACU